rnacentral:rRNA from 1 species
UUCGGCCGGAUUUUACACAAGUGUUGCAUGGCUGUCGUCAGCUCGUGUCGUGAGAUGUUGGGUUAAGUCCCGCAACGAGCGCAACCCUCAUCCUUAGUUGCYAYCAGGUAAUGCUGAGUACUUUAAGGAAACUGCCAGUGAUAAGCUGGAGGAAGGUGGGGAUGAUGUCAAGUCAUCAUGGCCUUUAUGGAGUGGGCUACACACGUGCUACAAUGGUGUCUACAAUGGGYUGCAAGGUGCGCAAGCCUAAGCUAAUCCCUAAAAGACAUCUCAGUUCGGAUUGUACUCUGCAACUCGAGUACAUGAAGUUGGAAUCGCUAGUAAUCGUGGAUCAGCAUGCCACGGUGAAU